GGUUUGAGGGUGGUUGUCUGUGACAUCUGUCAGCCCAUUGAAGGCCAGGCUUGAUUCAUGUGAUCUGGCUGGCUAGGCGGGUGUCUCCUUCCUCCCUCACUACUCCAUGUGCAUCCUUCCAGAAGGUGCACACUUCUUCAAAGAGGAGGACCUAGCCUGAAUGGAGGACUACCUGUCCUUGGUCAUGGGUAUAAAAGUAGCUGCACCCCACUGCUAGAACCUCCACACAGUCUCUCAAGAGUAUCUUUUAUUGUAUGCCUCCACACAACCCUGUCUCUCAAGGCACUCCUCUU
rnacentral:snRNA from 1 species